CUUGCUUUUGAUUAGGACACAGAUUUCUUUCACCUGCUUUAAUCACUCAGAACUUGUUGUAAGGCUUCCUCAGCAGCCAGCUGAGCAAUGGGGUGAGUCAUCUCCUGGAGGAACACGUUCGCUAGCUGGGUACGAGCUCAUCUCCGUAGGUGCCUCGUUCUGAAGUGAGGUGCAGCUCAUCUCGUUCCUCUUGAGGACUGCUUUGUGGGCCUCUGCAGCUGCUCCUUGGCAAGUAGCAAAGAGUACUGUUUGCCCCUAUAGUUAUUUACAUUGAGAUGAUUUCCCAUUGCCUGAAAGUAAUUCAUCUUUUUUUUUUUUUUUUAAAUCGUGGUUGUUCAGUCAGCAAAACUAAGGAUCUCUGUAAAGAUGUAGUGGCAGUGCUGCUGAUAAAUAAUCUAACUAAUUUUUGAAAAAGCCAAAACCAAUUUGUGUACAAUUAUUUUUUCAUCAGCUGCAAUGUAAAUCAGGAACAGCUCCCAGACACCCAACUUGCACAGCAAAAACCUUUGCAUGCAGCUCAGGUAACGCCUGUGAACCUCUGGGUCCUGCGGGAUAACUUCACUGAUGCUAUGAAGCCAGGAUACACCAGGUAGAUGCCACCCCUACCAAAUAAUUAGGAAACACUCCCACGAGAGCGGAGACCUGGGGACAGCUGGGCAGCUUGGGGUGCUGCAGGCGCUGGGGCAAUCCCCCCAGGGCCCACCCAGCUGCUGCCCCAGCAGACCCACACCAGGAAGCAGAGCGUAGAUGCAGGAGAUGUGCCUCAACCUUGUCACUUUUCUGCCUGUCCUCGGGAGGAGAGGGGCAAGGAGCGUGUCCCAGGCACGAUGCGUGUUCCACAGUCAGUCCCGGUCAUGUGCUACAUCUGCUCCCUGAAGUCAUCUACAACAACACGCUCUCCAACGCUAACAGUUUUCAGGUGGCACAGCAAUAUGUUCUGCACAUGGUCUAAAUCGGGGCUUUUCACACAGCCAUCACAUUUGCUUAGGGAGAAAGUUCCUUUCCAGAGCAGAAACACAACAUCGUCCCUUCCAGUUCCAUCUGAGAGAAACAGAUAAAAGAAUGUGAAAAAAAAAAUCAUUCCGCUGCUGAGUGAUGCUCAUGGAAGAGAAAAUUCUGGACUAAAUAUGUUUAUUGUGGGUAUUACCAAAGACAAGAGGAGAUCACACAUGGGAAGUUUCAAUUGCUGAGGAUGAUACAUUUAUUUAAUAGUUAUGCUUUCCCUAUACCUGGCUCUGAUACAGGCUGAGACAGAGAUCAUGAGACAUGUUUUCAGAUAGACAUUUUUUGCUUUUAAUAUUAAAUUUUACUUGCUGAAGAACAAGCUCCUGAGCAGCAGUUCUUUCUAAUGCUGCACAUCUACAGCAAGGCUCAAAUACAUUUUCUCCUAAAAAGCAGUUUUCAGGACUAUGAAUUAAAUCCUCCAUAAAAUUUUGAUAAAGAUCGUGAAGCUUCAACUUCAGAAAGCAUGUACUUAUUAAAACUCCUCUUACUAGAUGUUUAAUAUAAUAUUGACAUCUAGUAAUUAAUUUAUCCAUGAUAGCAUUCAAUUCUUUUCUGCCUAUUAAUGCUGCAGUAUUCAUUUUUGUGUAUCAUAGAAAUAAACAGAAGAGAUACCAUUAGAUUUUAUUCUAU
ensembl:lncRNA